rnacentral:rRNA from 1 species
CCUACGGGAGGCAGCAGUGGGGAAUUUUGGACAAUGGGGGCAACCCUGAUCCAGCCAUUCCGCGUGAGUGAAGAAGGCCUUCGGGUUGUAAAGCUCUUUCGCAAGGGAAGAAAACUUAUGAUCGAAUAAAUCAUGAGGUUGACGGUACCUUGAUAAGAAGCACCGGCUAACUACGUGCCAGCAGCCGCGGUAAUACGUAGGGUGCGAGCGUUAAUCGGAAUUACUGGGCGUAAAGCGUGCGCAGGCGGUUUUGUAAGUCGGAUGUGAAAUCCCCGGGCUCAACCUGGGAACUGCGUUAGAAACUGCAAGGCUAGAGUGUGUCAGAGGGGGGUAGAAUUCCACGUGUAGCAGUGAAAUGCGUAGAGAUGUGGAGGAAUACCAAUGGCGAAGGCAGCCCCCUGGGAUAACACUGACGCUCAUGCACGAAAGCGUGGGGAGCAAACAGGAUUAGAUACCCUGGUAGUCCACGCCCUAAACGAUGUCAACUAGUUGUUGGUAGAGUAAAAUCUAUGAGUAACGUAGCUAACGCGUGAAGUUGACCGCCUGGGGGAGGUACGGUCGCGAAGUAAGUUAAACGUUAAAGUUAAGUAAGUUAGUUACGGUACGUUGAGACGUGCGACGGACGACGACGAGGGAGGAGG